GACGAACGCUGGCGGCGUGCAUAACACAUGCAAGUCACGGGGGCCAGCAAUGGCAACCGGCGAACGGGUGCGUAACACGUAAGCGACCUACCUCGAUGUGGGGCAUAGCCGGCCUAACGGCCGGGUAAUUCCGCAUGUGAUCCUUGAGGGGCAUAUCUCGGGGAUGAAACCAGUAAUGGGCAUUGAGAGGGGCUUGCGGCCUAUCAGCUUGUUGGCGGGGUAACGGCNCACCAAGGCGACGACGGGUAGCUGGUUUGAGAGGAUGGCCAGCCACAUUGGGACUGAGAAACGGCCCAGACUCCUACGGGAGGCAGCAGUGGGGAAUCUUGCGCAAUGGCCUAACGGCUGACGCAGCGACGCCGCGUGAGGGAUGAAGCUCCUCGGAGUGUAAACCUCUGUUGCCCGGGACG
rnacentral:rRNA from 1 species